AUCUGUAAAAGGCAAACCAUGCGAAAGCGUGGGACGCAAAGUCAUCGAUCUAAAGGGCUAAGCCCCAGGAUAGCGAGACUGCCAGA
rnacentral:ncRNA from 1 species